GUCAUUUCUGAAGCAUUUUCAAUCGAGCAGUGGACAGCAGCCUCUUCAUUUCUAUUGGAGCUGUUAUUGUUAUUAUUUCAGACACCGCCGCCAACAACACUCCAAAUGGAAAGUGAAGAGUGAAGCAAGCAAUCUGCCAUGAUGGUGGGGUGCCGCAAAUAAAAUCUAAUGAGGUCCUUUUCUCCCUGUCUACUUUUCAAGAGAGCUAAAUCAACAGCGCAAAGACACCCUCAAACCCCACACGCUUCUUAAGAAGGAGAAUUCUGCAAACCUGCACUUUCGUCGCAAAAUAUAUAUCUCAGCACAACACUGCAUCAUCUCAGCAUGGCAUUUAGGAAGUUUCAGGAAAGUUCAAACGGGAGACUUCAGCAAAUCUUUUGGAACUUUGAAACGAUCGUGUCAACAAAACAUGAGCAAUGGGCUAAAAAGACCCACGUUGAGGCAUGUUUUAUCUUUCCAGGUUCAAGAGUUUGAGCUCAAGAAAAUCCCAGGAUUUUGCUUUGCUAAUAUGAAGCUACCUCGUUUGAUUUAAUUUGCUGGUUUCUUAUCACAUAGAAAACAUGCUGCUCCUGCACACACACACACACACACACACACACACACACACACAAAACAGGCUGAAGGCUGAAAGAGACCUUGUGUUAGACUGAACCUUCCACUCUGUCCGCUGGCACAAUCAAUGAACUGUUGUAUGAAGCAGAUAUAACUAAACAUUGAUCCAUAGUUUAUUGGAAAAAAUAUGCUUGGUUAAAUGGGUGUAACUUCAAGUUAGUCAAACAGCUAGAUUUAUGUAGCAAAUGCAUUAAAUCGCAUGUGUCCAAAUCGAAAUCCAUUGAUUGUGUAUUUAUUCUAAAAGGUGACUCAUUUUAUUUAUUAAUUUUACUUUCAGUUACACUUUAUUUGAAGGUGUCCUUGUUUCAGUGUAAUUAUUCAUUUA
rnacentral:lncRNA from 1 species